AGCAGCCGCGGUAAUUCCAGCUCCAAUAGCGUAUAUUAAAGUUGUUGCAGUUAAAAAGCUCGUAGUUGAAUUUCGGGAUCAAUUAAUUGGUCGUGCCUCUGGUACGUACUGAUUUUAUUGGUUUCUCCCUUCUGACGAACCAUGAUGUCAUUAAUUUGGUGUCGUGGAGAAUCAGGACUGUUACUUUGAAAAAAUUAGAGUGUUUAAAGCAAGCUAACGCUUGAAUACAUUAGCAUGGAAUAAUGAAAUAGGACGUUUGAUCCUAUUUUGUUGGUUUCUAGGAUCGACGUAAUGAUUAAUAGGGAUAGUUGGGGGCAUUAGUAUUCAAUUGUCAGAGGUGAAAUUCUUGGAUUUAUUGAAGACUAACUACUGCGAAAGCAUUUGCCAAGGAUGUUUUCAUUAAUCAAGAACGAAAGUUAGGGGAUCGAAGACGAUCAGAUACCGUCGUAGUCUUAACCAUAAACUAUGCCGACUAGGGAUCGGAUGAUGUUAAUUUUUAAUGACUCAUUCGGCGCCUUAC
rnacentral:rRNA from 1 species